rnacentral:rRNA from 1 species
AUUGAACGCUGGCGGCAUGCCUUACACAUGCAAGUCGAACGGCAGCAUGGAGAGCUUGCUCUCUGAUGGCGAGUGGCGAACGGGUGAGUAAUGCAUCUGAACGUACCGUGUAAUGGGGGAUAACGUAGCGAAAGUUACGCUAAUACCGCAUACGACCCGAGGGUGAAAGGAGGGGAGCGCAAGACCUUGCGUUAUUGGAGCGGCCGAUGUCGGAGUAGGUAGUUGGUGGGGUAAAGGCUCACCAAGUCGCCGAUCAGUAGCGGGUCUGAGAGGAUGAUCCCACGCACUGGGACUGAGACACGCGCCAGACUCCUACUGGAGGCGGCAGUGGGGAAUUUUGGCCAAUGGGGGCAACCCUGAUCCAGCCAUGCCGCGUGAGUGAAGAAGGCCUUCGGGUUGUAAAGCUCUUUCGGCCGGGAAGAAAUCGCACCGGCUAAUACUCUGUGUGGAUGACGGUACCGGCAUAAGAAGCACCGGCUAACUACGUGCCAGCCGCCGCAGUAA